rnacentral:rRNA from 1 species
UACGGGGGGGGCAAGCGUUGUUCGGAAUUACUGGGCGUAAAGGGCUCGUAGGUGGCCAACUAAGUCAGACGUGAAAUCCCUCGGCUUAACCGGGGAACUGCGUCUGAUACUGGAUGGCUUGAGUGUGGGAGAGGGAUGCGGAAUUCCAGGUGUAGCGGUGAAAUGCGUAGAUAUCUGGAGGAACACCGGUGGCGAAGGCGGCAGCCUGGACCAUUACUGACACUAAAAAGCGAAAGCCAGGGGAGCAAACGGG